AUGAACGCUAGCGACAGGCUUAACACAUGCAAGUCGAGGGGCAGCGGGGGUAGCAAUACCCGCCGGCGACCGGCGCACGGGUGAGUAACGCGUAUGCAACUUGCCUAUCAGAGGGGGAUAACCCGGCGAAAGUCGGACUAAUACCGCAUGAAGCAGGGGCCCCGCAUGGGGAUAUUUGCUAAAGAUUCAUCGCUGAUAGAUAGGCAUGCGUUCCAUUAGGCAGUUGGCGGGGUAACGGCCCACCAAACCGACGAUGGAUAGGGGUUCUGAGAGGAAGGUCCCCCACAUUGGUACUGAGACACGGACCAAACUCCUACGGGAGGCAGCAGUGAGGAAUAUUGGUCAAUGGCCGAGAGGCUGAACCAGCCAAGUCGCGUGAGGGAUGAAGGUUCUAUGGAUCGUAAACCUCUUUUAUAAGGGAAUAAAGUGCGGGACGUGUCCCGUUUUGUAUGUACCUUAUGAAUAAGGAUCGGCUAACUCCGUGCCAGCAGCCGCGGUAAUACGGAGGAUCCGAGCGUUAUCCGGAUUUAUUGGGUUUAAAGGGUGCGUAGGCGGCCUUUUAAGUCAGCGGUGAAAGUCUGUGGCUCAACCAUAGAAUUGCCGUUGAAACUGGGGGGCUUGAGUAUGUUUGAGGCAGGCGGAAUGCGUGGUGUAGCGGUGAAAUGCAUAGAUAUCACGCAGAACCCCGAUUGCGAAGGCAGCCUGCCAAGCCAUUACUGACGCUGAUGCACGAAAGCGUGGGGAUCAAACAGGAUUAGAUACCCUGGUAGUCCACGCAGUAAACGAUGAUCACUAGCUGUUUGCGAUACACUGUAAGCGGCACAGCGAAAGCGUUAAGUGAUCCACCUGGGGAGUACGCCGGCAACGGUGAAACUCAAAGGAAUUGACGGGGGCCCGCACAAGCGGAGGAACAUGUGGUUUAAUUCGAUGAUACGCGAGGAACCUUACCCGGGUUUGAACGCAUUCGGACCGAGGUGGAAACACCUUUUCUAGCAAUAGCCGUUUGCGAGGUGCUGCAUGGUUGUCGUCAGCUCGUGCCGUGAGGUGUCGGCUUAAGUGCCAUAACGAGCGCAACCCUUGCCACUAGUUACUAACAGGUAAAGCUGAGGACUCUGGUGGGACUGCCAGCGUAAGCUGCGAGGAAGGCGGGGAUGACGUCAAAUCAGCACGGCCCUUACAUCCGGGGCGACACACGUGUUACAAUGGCGUGGACAAAGGGAGGCCACCUGGCGACAGGGAGCGAAUCCCCAAACCACGUCUCAGUUCGGAUCGGAGUCUGCAACCCGACUCCGUGAAGCUGGAUUCGCUAGUAAUCGCGCAUCAGCCAUGGCGCGGUGAAUACGUUCCCGGGCCUUGUACACACCGCCCGUCAAGCCAUGGGAGCCGGGGGUACCUGAAGUCCGUAACCGAAAGGAUCGGCCUAGGGUAAAACUGGUGACUGGGGCU
rnacentral:rRNA from 1 species